rnacentral:rRNA from 1 species
CCAAUCGAACUCGGAGAUAGCUGGUUCUCCCCGAAAUAGCUUUAGGGCUAGCCUCAUAUUAGAUACCCGGAGGUAAAGCACUGAAUGGCCUAGCGCCCGAGAGGGUAGCGAAGCCUAUCAAACUAAGAAUGCCGGAGUAUUGAUGUAUGGGAGUCAGACAGUGUGAGAUAAAUCUCAUUGUCAAAAGGGAAACAGCCCAGAUCUACAGCUAAGGUCCCAAAUUGUAUCUAAGUGGAAAACGAUGUGGAAAUACGCAGACAACCAGGAUGUUGGCUCAGAAGCAGCCACUCAUUUAAAGAGUGCGUAAUAGCUCACUGGUCGAGCGUCUCUGCGCGGAAAAUUUAACGGGGCUAAGAUACAAACCGAAGCUUAGGCUGCAUCGUAAGAUGCGGGGUAGGGGAGCGUUGUGUAAGCGGAGAAACAGUAGCGUAAGCGGCUGUGGAGUUUACAGAAGUGAGAAUGCCGGAAUGAGUAGCGCGAAUGUGGUGAGAAUCCACAUGGCCGGAAACCUCAGGUUUUUGGAGGAAGGUUCGUCCGCUCCAAGUUAGGCGGGAGCUAAGGUCAGGCCGAAAGGCGUAGCCGAUGCACAGACGGUAGAGAUUCCGUCCCCACCGAAAGAUUUAAGCACAGGGACACUUUUUGAAGGUCGGAGCCAGGUGUUGGUUCUGGUAGUGAUCGAGGGAAAUAUAGUACCGAAGUCCGGCUGGAAGAGAGGCGAGAAAAGCUGUGUGUAUAUCUAAGGUGCCCGUACCGCAAACCGACACAGGUAGGUAGGAAGAAGAUUCUAAGGCCAACGGGAGAAGGGUUGUUAAGGAACUCGGCAAGUUGACCCCGUAACUUCGGAAUAAGGGGUGCUCACGAGAGUGAGCCGCAGAGAAUAGGCCCAGGCAACUGUUUACCAAAAACACAGGUUUGUGCUAAAUCGAAAGAUGACGUAUACGAGCUGACGCCUGCCCGGUGCUGGAAGGUUAAAAGGAGAUGUGCAAGCAUUGAAUUGAAGCCCCAGUGAACGGCGGCCGUAACUAUAACGGUCCUAAGGUAGCGAAAUUCCUUGUCAGGUAAGUUCUGACCCGCAUGAAAGGCGUAAUGAUUUGGGCACUGUCUCAACAGCCCGCCCGGCGAAAUUGUAGUACCGGUGAAGAUGCCGGUUACCCGCGACAAGACGGAAAGACCCCAUGGAGCUUUACUGUAGCCUAAUAUUGGGUUUCGGUGUUGCAUGCACAGGAUAGAUGGGACGCUAGGAAAGAAGCGCUUUGGCGUUUCUGGAGCGGACGUUGGGAUACCAUCCUUGCGACAUUGGAAUUCUAACCUGCGCCUCUGAAUCGAGGCGGGGGACAUUGUCAGGUGGGCAGUUUGACUGGGGCGGUCGCCUCCUAAAAAGUAGCGGAGGCGUUCAAAGGUUCGUUCGAUCUGGACGGAAACCAGAUGAAUGAGUGCAAACGCAUAAACGAGCCUGACUGCGAGACUGACGGGUCGAGCAGAGACGAAAGUCGGAGUUAGUGAUCCGGUGGUAUGUGAGUGGAAAUGCCAUCGCUCAACGGAUAAAA